UAAGGUCUAACCUGCCCAAUGAGGAUUUAAAUGGCCGCAGUAUUUUGACUGUGCAAAGGUAGCAUAAUUAUUAGUUUCUUAAUUAGAAGCUUGUAUGAAGGGUUGGACGAGGUAAAAUCUGUCUCUAUUUAAAUUAUAAUAGAAUUUAACUUUUAAGUUAAAAGGCUUAAAUGUUUAUAAAAGACGAGAAGACCCUAUAGAUCUUUAUUUAAUUGAAGUUUUAAUAAUUUAGGAUUAUUUUAAUUUAGAUCUUUGAUUGAAUUUUAUUGGGGUAAUAUAAAGAUUAAAUAAAUUCUUUUUAUUUAUAACAUUGAUUUAUGAGUUAAUGAUCCAAUUCUAUUGAUUAAAAGAUUAAGUUACCUUAGGGAUAACAGCGUAAUUUUUUUGGAGAGCUCAUAUCGAUAAAAAAGUUUGCGACCUCGAUGUUGGAUUAAAAAUUAUCUUGGGUGCCCAAGUUCAAGAUUUUGGUCUGUUCGACCAUUAAAUUU
rnacentral:rRNA from 1 species